UCCUACCUUAUUGAACUGGUCAGGAUGGACAAACCAAAGUCAAAUAAUGGUUAAAAAGAAACAAAGAAAAUUAUUUCCAGAUGUUACUGUCUUCCUAGUGGCCCAAGACACAUUUAAAUUUAAUUAAGGAGUUCAGUUACAACGUAACAUUUUAAAAGAUAAUUAGCUUUCUCAUAUACUGGGAAAAACUGGUUAGAAAAUAUAGAGAUCACUCAGUGGGAUGGAAUCAAAUAGAAAUGUGUCUGGUAAAGGUUGUAUUUCAUGUUAAGUGAGAGGAAUCAGAGUAACAGCUCACAUAACGCUUCAGAACUUCUAAGUGCCAAGCAUUAUGCUGAAGACCUUUUUUUUUUUUGAGACGGAGUCUCGCUCUGUUGCCUAGGCUGGAGUUCAGUGACACAAUCUCAGCUCACUGCAAGCUCUGCCUCCCGGGUUCACGCCAUUCUUCUGCCUCAGCCUCCCGAGUAGCUGGGACUACAGGCGCCGGCCACCACGCCCGGCUAAUUUGUAUUUUUAGUAGAGACGGGAUUUCCCUGUGUUAGCU
rnacentral:lncRNA from 1 species